rnacentral:rRNA from 1 species
GACGAACCGAGCGAACGUUAUUCGGAAUAACUGGGCUUAAAGGGUGCGUAGGCGGGCUGUCAAGUCUGGGGUGAAAUCCGGCAGCUUAACUGUCGAACUGCCUCAGAUACUGAUGGCCUCGAGGGAGGUAGGGGCAUGCGGAACUGUAGGUGGAGCGGUGAAAUGCGUUGAUAUCUACAGGAACUCCGGUGGCGAAAGCGGCGUGCUGGACCUCUUCUGACGCUGAGGCACGAAAGCUAGGGGAGCAAACGGG